rnacentral:rRNA from 1 species
GAUGAACGCUAGCGGCAGGCUUAAUACAUGCAAGUCGAGGGGCAGCACGUUUCGCAGCAAUGCUGGAUGGUGGCGACCGGCAAACGGGUGAGGAUCGCGUACACAAUCUUCCCAGAGCAGGGGGAUAACCCGGGGAAACCCGGACUAAUACCCCGUAGUUUACUUUGAAGGCAUCUUUGAGGUAAUAAAACUCCGGUGGCUUUGGAUGAGUGUGCGUCCCAUUAGGUAGUUGGCAGGGUAACGGCCUACCAAGCCUUCGAUGGGUAACUGGUGUGAGAGCACGACCAGUCAGACGGGGACUGAGACACGGGCCCGACUCAUACGGGAGGCAGCAGUAAGGAAUAUUGGUCAAUGGACGCAAGUCUGAACCAGCCAUGCCGCGUGAAGGAAGAAGGUCUUCUGGAUUGUAAACUUCUUUUAUAGGGGGCGAAAAAAGGGUUUUUUAACUCACUUGACGGUACCUUAUGAAUAAGCACCGGCUAACUCCGUG